rnacentral:ncRNA from 1 species
AAUAGAGGGCUGACAGAAAAGAUUUGGGUUAGUGAGAAUAGGAACAACAUCAAGGGACAAGCGUUCAUAGCGACGUUGCUUUUUGGUUUUUCGAUGUCGGCUCUUCCUAUCAUACCGAAGCAUAAUUCAGUAAGCGUUGGAUUGUUCACCCACUAAUAGGGAACGUGAGAUUAGUUUAGACCGUUGUGAGACAUAUUAGUUAUACUCUACUCUACUGGUGAAAUGUUGUUGUAAUUGUACUUAGUACGAGAGGAACCGUUCAUUCUGAUAAUUGGUAUUUGGGCCUGCCUGAGCAGGCAAUGGCCCGAAGCUAUCAUCCGUUGGGUUAUGGCUGAACACCUCCAAGUCAGAACCCGUUCUAGAACGCGACGAUUACCACCUUUGCCGAUUUUUAGUUGAAUACGAAUAGAGUCUCGGAUCUUGUAUCUUACUACUAGGGUCGAUCUUGCAGAGUGGAAAGACUUUGUGAGGUUAUCCUAAUGUUAAUUUCAAAUAUUGGAAGAGAUAAAUCCAUUGCAGACGACUUAAAUUGAGCGGGGUAUUGUAAGCAGUAGAUUAGCCUUGUUGUUACGAUCUGAGGAGAUUAAGCCCAUUGUUCUAUAGAAUG